rnacentral:rRNA from 1 species
ACGUGAGUAACCUGCCCCAGACUUCGGGAUAAGCCUUGGAAACGAGGUCUAAUACCGGAUAUGAGCCGUCCUCGCAUGGGGGUGGUUGGAAAGAUUUAUCGGUCUGGGAUGGGCUCGCGGCCUAUCAGCUUGUUGGUGGGGUGAUGGCCUACCAAGGCGACGACGGGUAGCCGGCCUGAGAGGGCGACCGGCCACACUGGGACUGAGACACGGCCCAGACUCCUACGGGAGGCAGCAGUGGGGAAUAUUGCACAAUGGGCGCAAGCCUGAUGCAGCGACGCCGCGUGAGGGAUGAAGGCCUUCGGGUUGUAAACCUCUUUCAGCAGGGAAGAAGCGCAAGUGACGGUACCUGCAGAAGAAGCGCCGGCUAACUACGUGCCAGCAGCCGCGGUAAUACGUAGGGCGCAAGCGUUGUCCGGAAUUAUUGGGCGUAAAGAGCUCGUAGGCGGUUUGUCGCGUCUGGUGUGAAAACUCAAGGCUCAACCUUGAGCUUGCAUCGGGUACGGGCAGACUAGAGUGCGGUAGGGGAGACUGGAAUUCCUGGUGUAGCGGUGGAAUGCGCAGAUAUCAGGAGGAACACCGAUGGCGAAGGCAGGUCUCUGGGCCGCAACUGACGCUGAGGAGCGAAAGCAUGGGGAGCGAACAGGAUUAGAUACCCUGGUAGUCCAUGCCGUAAACGUUGGGCACUAGGUGUGGGGCUCAUUCCACGAGUUCCGUGCCGCAGCAAACGCAUUAAGUGCCCCGCCUGGGGAGUACGGCCGCAAGGCUAAAACUCAAAGGAAUUGACGGGGGCCCGCACAAGCGGCGGAGCAUGCGGAUUAAUUCGAUGCAACGCGAAGAACCUUACCAAGGCUUGACAUACACCGGAAACUUCCAGAGAUGGUUGCCCCGCAAGGUCGGUGUACAGGUGGUGCAUGGUUGUCGUCAGCUCGUGUCGUGAGAUGUUGGGUUAAGUCCCGCAACGAGCGCAACCCUCGUCCUAUGUUGCCAGCACGUGAUGGUGGGGACUCAUAGGAGACUGCCGGGGUCAACUCGGAGGAAGGUGGGGAUGACGUCAAAUCAUCAUGCCCCUUAUGUCUUGGGCUUCACGCAUGCUACAAUGGCCGGUACAAAGGGCUGCGAUGCCGUAAGGUGGAGCGAAUCCCAAAAAGCCGGUCUCAGUUCGGAUUGGGGUCUGCAACUCGACCC